UACGUAGGUGGCAAGCGUUGUCCGGAAUUAUUGGGCGUAAAGCGCGCGUAGGUGGUUUCUUAAGUCUGAUGUGAAAGCCCACGGCUCAACCGUGGAGGGUCAUUGGAAACUGGGGAACUUGAGUGCAGGAGAGAAGAGUGGAAUUCCACGUGUAGCGGUGAAAUGCGUAGAGAUGUGGAGGAACACCAGUGGCGAAGGCGACUCUUUGGCCUGUAACUGACACUGAGGCGCGAAAGCUAGGGGAGCGAACAGG
rnacentral:rRNA from 1 species